CCUACGGGUGGCAGCAGUGGGGAAUAUUGGGCAAUGGGCGCAAGCCUGACCCAGCAACGCCGCGUGAAGGAAGAAGGCUUUCGGGUUGUAAACUUCUUUUAUCAGGGACGAAGCAAGUGACGGUACCUGAUGAAUAAGCCACGGCUAAUCCGUUCCAGCAGCCGCAGGUAAACGUAGGUGGGCAGCGUUAUCCGGAAUUAGUGGGGGGAAAGGGCGUGUAGGCGGGGGUGCAAAGGAGAUGGGAAAACGAUGGGCUCAACCCAAAGUCUGCAUUUGAAACUGUACUUCUUGAGUGUUGGAGGGGCAAGCGGAAUUCCGUGUGUAGCGGUGAAAUGCGUAGAUAUACGGAGGAACACCAGUGGCGAAGGCGGAUUGCUGGACAGUAACUGACGCUGAGGCGCGAAAGCGUGGGGAGCAAACAGGAUUAGAUACCCCUGUAGUC
rnacentral:rRNA from 1 species